GGCCGUGCGCAAAAAUUGGGGAUCCCUUUGUUUGACAUAAUUAUUGAAAGUCAUAAUGUAAUGAUUGUCAGAUUAUCAUUAGUCAUAAUUCUGAAACCGUUAACAUUUCAGGAUUUUCGUAAGGUUAUACUGUAGAUAGGUUAGGUUAGAUAUGUUUUGGUUU